rnacentral:rRNA from 1 species
GUCCUAGCCCUAAACGAUGGAUGCUUGGUGUAGCGGGUACCCAAUCCCGCUGUGCCGGAGCUAACGCGUUAAGCAUCCCGCCUGGGGAGUACGGUAGCAAGGCUGAAACUCAAAGGAAUUGACGGGGCCGCACAAGCGGUGGAGCAUGUGGUUCAAUUCGACGCAACGCGAAGAACCUUACCCUGGGCGUCGAAGCGCAGUGGAAUCCGGUGGAAACACCGGCGCCCGCAAGGGCUGCUGCGGAGGUGCUGCAUGGCUGUCGU